UACGAAGGGGGCUAGCGUUGUUCGGAGUUACUGGGCGUAAAGGGCGCGUAGGCGGCGCACCAAGUCAGGCGUGAAAGCCCUGGGCUCAACCCGGGAAUUGCGCUUGAGACUGGUGUGCUUGAGUACGGGAGAGGAUAGUGGAAUUCCCAGUGUAGAGGUGAAAUUCGUAGAUAUUGGGAAGAACACCGGUGGCGAAGGCGGCUAUCUGGACCGUAACUGACGCUGAGGCGCGAAAAGCGUGGGGAGCAAACAGG
rnacentral:rRNA from 1 species